UGGCAUUGUGCAUUAAAAUUGGAUGGAUGAUGUGUUUUAAAUCAUCAAAUCCACGUGGCGUCGGUGCUUCUUUCUCUUCUCCUUGGUCAUUCUCUUCUUCUCCCUCGGUCCUGAAGCUGAGAGAGAAAGCGAUGGUCAAUAGAACCUUCACCACUGCCCAACACGCCAACUUUUAAGUGUCGGAGUUUGUGUAUCUCCUUUCUCGAGUGCCAGAGACUUCCCCCCUUUCUUAAGGACCAGAGACUGCAUCUUAUGAAUGAAAAACCUGUUUACGUCGUGUGAGCUCGUGGAAGCAGUGUCAUUAAGAGGCACCAUAGAAGUGAGAAGCUCGGUGCAAGGCAUUUUCCCC
rnacentral:lncRNA from 1 species